AAUAGGUCGUGCUCUGGAUUGCCAUCCCAGCUCAUACACUGAAACUGACCCCCAAUGUGACCGUAUUUGUAGACAGGGCUUCAGAAAUUAAUUAUAGUUAAAUGAAGUCAUAAGGUUGAAGCUGAUAGCAUUGAUGUUCUUAUAAGAAGAGGAAGAAAGGCCAGAAUUCUCUUUCUCUACCAUGUGAGGUCACAGCAAGUAGGAAGCCACUGGCAAGUCAGGAAAGAGAACCCUCACUUCACCCUUACCUACACCUUGAUCUUGGACUUCUGGCCUCCCGAACUGUAAGAAAGUGAAUUUAUGAGAACAACUCGAAGAGAUCAUCAGCCAUAGGAACAGGAAGUGACAUAAGGAUGGCAGAGGGGCACGAGGUCUCAAGAUGGCAGUGGCUGGGUAAUUGACUGAGAGGCAGAGGUGAAGGCCCCUACGAAGUAAAAGAGGCUGGGAAUCACCACCUCCCUGCUUCUCACAGUCUUGGGAGCCCAGCAAUAGUGUCUUUCUUUUUUUAAUAUUCAUUAUAAACUUUCACUUAUUCAAGUGAACCAUGUAAACUAUCAACAUGAGACGGAGAUCAACAUCGUCCACCGAGAGUGGAAACUUAUGAACUCUACAGACCAAGCCCGAUAGGAAGCCAGAAAAAGAGAAGUAACGAAGACCAAAAAAGAGUGCAUGAUGGUUCAAGCUGCAAUUUUGAAGAUGAAAGAUCCAAAACAAAUUAUCUGGGACAUGGAGAAAUUGGAUGAAAUGGAGUUUAACUCAGUACAACAGCCACAGCUAAAUGAGAAAGUACUGAAAGACGAGCAUAAAAAGCUACGUGAGACCUUUGAACAUAUUCAGAGAAUCGAGAUAUUUACAAAGAACUGAGAAAGCUAGAAUUAGAAUAUGAACAGAAGGGGGCCUAACUUAGCCAAUAUUUUGAUGCUGUCAAGAACGCCCAGCAUGUGGAAGCAGAGAGGAUUCCUUGGCCAGAUGUGCCACCUGCUCCUUCCAACAUCUUGAUCCAGGACAUUCCACUUCCUGGUGCCCAGCCUCCCUCCAUCCUUAAGAAGACCUCAGCUUAUGGGCCUCCAACUCGAGCAGUUUCUAUCCUUCCUCUUGGUGGACAUGGUGUUCCACCUGGUGACAGUGAGCGAGACAACACUGAAGAGAAAAAGUCAAGUCUGAGUGUACGAUUUGCAGAUAGGCCUGGAAAAUCAAGGAAGAAAAUGAACAUAAGGGAGCCGACUCCUCUUCAAGACCUGAAGCUUCAAAUGGCAGGUCAGGAAAUCCCUGAGGAGGGGAAGGAAGUAGAGGGACCCUCAGAGGAUGAUGAAGAACACGAUUCUGAAGCAGAAAAGCAUCACAGAAACAACAUCGAUGAUUCUUAUUCUGACAGCACAGUUACUGCUUCUUCACAGCAGCAGGCUCUCCCACAGUCCGUUCUGCCUUCUCAGAUACAAGCACGUCCCAUGCCAGGAACACCACCUCUUAGACCACCACCUGCUCCACCUUUACAGCCUCCUGGGCCACCUCUAGGGACUCCUCCAUUCCUGAGACCACCUGGAAUGUCAGGACUCCAAGGUCCUUUACCACGACUUUUACCCCCAGGACCACCACCAGGCCCAUUUCCUGGUCCUCCCCCAGGUCCACCUCCAGGUCUGCUUCCUGGCCCUCUUCCUUGAGGACCCCUGCCAAGGCUACCUCCUCCUGCACCUCCAGGUGUCCCCCACCUCAUCCUGGUAUGAUGUUUCCACCUUUGGGGCCUCCACUUGGACCUGCCCCACAUGGGCUUUUCCCACCAGCUCCCUUGCUGAACCCUGGGGUACUAAGUGCCCCACCCAACCUGAUUCAGCGAUCCAAGGCGGACGAUGCAAGUGCAGCCACCAUUGAGAAGAAAGCCACAGCAGACAUCAGUGCUAAGCCACAGACCACUAAUCCCAAGGCAGAAAUUACUCGAUUUGUGCCCACCACACUGAGGGUACAUCAGGAGAAUAAAGGUUGAUCGCUGCUCCCCAAAGAAAGUCAGAGGAUGAUUCUGCUGUGCCUCUUGCCAAAGCACCCCCCAAAUCUGAUCCUUCUGUGUCUGUCUCAGUACAAACUAAGGAUGAUUUUAUGAAGCUUUCAUGAAAGAGAUGGAAGGGCUGCUGUGA